CGGCGAGUGAAGCGGGAAAAGCUCAAUUUUAAAAUCUAGGCGCUUUGCGUCUCGAAUUGUAAAUUAAAGAAACGUUAUCUGCUACCGUACGGGUAUAAAUCCUUUGGAAAAGGGUAUCAUAGAGGGUGAGAAUCCCGUCUUUGACUUGUAACGGAUGGCUAUAUGAUGCGUUUUCUAAGAGUCGGGUUGUUUGAGAAUGCAGCCCUAAAUUGGUGGUAAAUUUCAUCUAAAGCUAAAUAUAUGCAAGAGACCGAUAGCAAACAAGUACCGUGAGGGAAAGAUGAAAAGAACUUUGAAAAGAGAGUUAAAAGUACGUGAAAUUGUUAAAAGGGAAACGAUUGAAGCCAGUCAUUCCUUGCUAUAUUCAGCCUCAACUUUGUAUGAUUAAGCGUUUAGUGCGUCUAUUGAAUAUAAAGUUUUGGUGCAUUUAUAGUUGGAGAGUCAACAUCAGUUGUGUUUGGUGAAUAAAACUUAAGGAAUGUAGGUUCACCUCGGUGGACUGUUAUAGACUUAUUUAUUCUCACUGGACGCGACUGAGGACCGUAGUGCGAGCCUUCGGGCCUUUAUCUUUGUGCCUGUCUAGUCAUCUAGUGUAAACAGCUUGCUGCUUGCCCUGGAAGCGGCUGGACAGCCGUGCAAACGAUAUAUGUCGU
rnacentral:rRNA from 1 species